GAUGAACGCUAGCGGCAGGCCUAAUACAUGCAAGUCGAACGGAAUAUGAUUUUCGGAUUAUAUUUAGUGGCGCACGGGUGAGUAACACGUACAUAACUUACCCUCAAGAGGGGGAUAGCCUCGGGAAACUGAGCGUAAUACCCCAUAGUAUUAUUGAACGGCAUCGUUUGAUAAUUAAAGCUACGGCGCUUGAGGAUAGAUGUGCGUCUGAUUAGCUAGUUGGUAAGGUAACGGCUUACCAAGGCGACGAUCAGUAGGGGGCGUGAGAGCGUGGCCCCCCACACGGGUACGUGAGACACGGACCCGACUCCUACGGGAGGCAGCAGUAAGGAAUAUUGGUC
rnacentral:rRNA from 1 species